AGACGUCACACUGCGGAAGCGGGUAUACCCGCUGAAACGCCGUCUAUUUUGAGCGACUUUCAAGCCCGGCAAAGCCAAUGGAGAAACAUGCUGCGCAUAUUGCAGGCCAUUGAUCGAGCACCUGCUGUAUGGCAGAUUUUUAAUCAACCAUUUUUUUCAUGGGUUUGUACACGGGGUCUGGAGCAUAUCCCCUGUGAUAAAACGGAGGGACUGUAGUAGUGCAUACUGACUGUUACUGUACAGGUUUUGAUCUUUUCAUCCCAAAAAUGACUCUCAUCUGCUUCUAUGACAUGUGUUUUGCCGAGCUGUGCGAGUAGCCAAGGGCCAACAGCGCCGUCUCCACCAGCUGGGAGAAGAGAAUGUCCUUCCGCACCAGAACAAACUCCGCAUGCUCCUCCCUUCCGUCACAUCCGUCGGCCUGGAUCCCUCCAUCCGUCUG